rnacentral:rRNA from 1 species
AUUGAACGCUGGCGGCAGGCCUAACACAUGCAAGUCGAGCGGAUGAAGGGAGCUUGCUCCUGGAUUCAGCGGCGGACGGGUGAGUAAUGCCUAGGAAUCUGCCUGGUAGUGGGGGAUAACGUCCGGAAACGGGCGCUAAUACCGCAUACGUCCGGAGGGAGAAAGUGGGGGAUCUUCGGACCUCACGCUAUCAGAUGAGCCUAGGUCGGAUUAGCUAGUUGGUGGGGUAAAGGCCUACCAAGGCGACGAUCCGUAACUGGUCUGAGAGGAUGAUCAGUCACACUGGAACUGAGACACGGUCCAGACUCCUACGGGAGGCAGCAGUGGGGAAUAUUGGACGAUGGGCGAAAGCCUGAUCCAGCCAUGCCGCGUGUGUGAAGAAGGUCUUCGGAUUGUAAAGCACUUUACGUUGGGAGCAAGGGCAGUAAGUUAAUACCUUGCUGUUUUGACGUUACCAACAGAAUAAGCACCGGCUAACUUCGUG